CUAAAGACUCAGGGGAUUUCUUAUUUUGUUAUUAGAAGGGAGCAAAGCUAUUGUUUUAAGUAUGACAAAAGCCCACAUCUGCUCUUGUGCAAGUUACUCCUGGCUGCAUCAGGCUUUCUAAGCAUUGACUGUGGAUGUGCGUGCAGCCGCACCCUCUCCUGGAAUUCCUAUUGGUCUCCUCCUUGUCCUAAGCUGCUGCUCAGAAGCUCACCGUAAAGGAAACUAUGUUGCUGCCAUUUGACGUCAAAGCGCAUCGAUAACUGAUUCAGUAAUUGGCAACUACUCCUCUAUCAAUGUGUAUGCACAUGGAGACUUGGACUGUCAGAUAAGGGCAGAACGCCAACAACCAAGGCAAGAAGAAUGUGAAAAAGGAUUCAGUAUGUUCAAGAACCCCAAGCCUGGUAACUUCCUUAGUGUACACCAUUAUUUACAUAAACAUCAAUAAAUUCAGAAGAUUAAAGAUUUGAAGCAAUAGUAAAAAUGACCAUUGUUAAAUAUGCCUAUUAAAUUAAAAAUAGUUAUAACAUUAUUGAAGUUUUUACCUAAAAACAUAACAGGAAGUCAUUCUAGAACUUUCUAACAUAGAUACCAUUGUAAAGUUCAG
rnacentral:lncRNA from 1 species